rnacentral:rRNA from 1 species
AAAUUGAAGAGUUUGAUCAUGGCUCAGAUUGAACGCUGGCGGCAGGCCUAACACAUGCAAGUCGAACGGUAACAGAAAGCAGCUUGCUGCUUUGCUGACGAGUGGCGGACGGGUGAGUAAUGUCUGGGAAACUGCCUGAUGGAGGGGGAUAACUACUGGAAACGGUAGCUAAUACCGCAUAACGUCGCAAGACCAAAGAGGGGGACCUUCGGGCCUCUUGCCAUCGGAUGUGCCCAGAUGGGAUUAGCUUGUUGGUGGGGUAACGGCUCACCAAGGCGACGAUCCCUAGCUGGUCUGAGAGGAUGACCAGCCACACUGGAACUGAGACACGGUCCAGACUCCUACGGGAGGCAGCAGUGGGGAAUAUUGCACAAUGGGCGCAAGCCUGAUGCAGCCAUGCCGCGUGUAUGAAGAAGGCCUUCGGGUUGUAAAGUACUUUCAGCGGGGAGGAAGGGAGUAAAGUUAAUACCUUUGCUCAUUGACGUUACCCGCAGAAGAAGCACCGGCUAACUCCGUGCCAGCAGCCGCGGUAAUACGGAGGGUGCAAGCGUUAAUCGGAAUUACUGGGCGUAAAGCGCACGCAGGCGGUUUGUUAAGUCAGAUGUGAAAUCCCCGGGCUCAACCUGGGAACUGCAUCUGAUACUGGCAAGCUUGAGUCUCGUAGAGGGGGGUAGAAUUCCAGGUGUAGCGGUGAAAUGCGUAGAGAUCUGGAGGAAUACCGGUGGCGAAGGCGGCCCCCUGGACGAAGACUGACGCUCAGGUGCGAAAGCGUGGGGAGCAAACAGGAUUAGAUACCCUGGUAGUCCACGCCGUAAACGAUGUCGACUUGGAGGUUGUGCCCUUGAGGCGUGGCUUCCGGAGCUAACGCGUUAAGUCGACCGCCUGGGGAGUACGGCCGCAAGGUUAAAACUCAAAUGAAUUGACGGGGGCCCGCACAAGCGGUGGAGCAUGUGGUUUAAUUCGAUGCAACGCGAAGAACCUUACCUGGUCUUGACAUCCACGGAAGUUUUCAGAGAUGAGAAUGUGCCUUCGGGAACCGUGAGACAGGUGCUGCAUGGCUGUCGUCAGCUCGUGUUGUGAAAUGUUGGGUUAAGUCCCGCAACGAGCGCAACCCUUAUCCUUUGUUGCCAGCGGUCCGGCCGGGAACUCAAAGGAGACUGCCAGUGAUAAACUGGAGGAAGGUGGGGAUGACGUCAAGUCAUCAUGGCCCUUACGACCAGGGCUACACACGUGCUACAAUGGCGCAUACAAAGAGAAGCGACCUCGCGAGAGCAAGCGGACCUCAUAAAGUGCGUCGUAGUCCGGAUUGGAGUCUGCAACUCGACUCCAUGAAGUCGGAAUCGCUAGUAAUCGUGGAUCAGAAUGCCACGGUGAAUACGUUCCCGGGCCUUGUACACACCGCCCGUCACACCAUGGGAGUGGGUUGCAAAAGAAGUAGGUAGCUUAACCUUCGGGAGGGCGCUUACCACUUUGUGAUUCAUGACUGGGGUGAAGUCGUAACAAGGUAACCGUAGGGGAACCUGCGGUUGGAUCACCUCCUUACCUUAAAGAA